UGGGGUGGGGAGAUAGCACUGCUAUGGGUGCAGGCUGCUCACACGUGUGUGCAUGUCUGUGGCAUCCCCCUGACCAUGGUGCCCUGGGUGGUUGCCCAUGUUGCCCAUCUGUAAGGCUGGCCUUGGUUGUUAUCCUCACUGAGACCGCACUGGGGGAAGAAAUGAUGAGAAAAUGACUAUUGACAUCAUGUUACGCUGUUAUGCAAUCCACCCACAGGGUUCAGACUUGCAAACAGGUCGACUCCCAUUUAAGUACCUAAGCAAAGUUGGCAGAUUUUCAGAAGGGCUCAGCAUCCAUCAGCCUCUGCUGAAAACACACCAAAUUCUUCUGAAAACUGUUCCAGAGGGACUAUUUAAGACAACAGGGCCAAGUUGUGAUUGACAAUUAAUAUACCUCUUUUUUUCAGGAAACAAGAAUAGCUACAUUCACAGAGGAGGCAGUGUCUGAGUUCACAUCUCAGAGCAUGGGGCUUUGCACAAAUGUGCACCAAGAUGAAAUUGAUCCUUAUUCUUUCAACAUACUACCUCUUAUUGCACACAGUCCAAGAGAUUCUGGUCUCAUUUACACUAGGAUCAACUGGAGCCAUUCUCAUUUAGUCCAUGGAAUAGUUUGCACCAGAAUGUGACCCACCAAAUUACUACAUCCCAGUUCUCAAGCCAUCUGGAAAUGCAUAGUACCUCAGGGAGUCUCUGAUGGACCUGUUCCCACACACAACCACCUAGAGGCCACAAGUAAAUGAGCUGCUCUCAUAUUUUGAAUCAAUGGGAACAAGAAGGAUUUGCUGGGUCUUGCUUCAGAUACUCAGCAGAUCUCCCUGGGCUCACCUUAGUCUGAUGGAUGCCUCUGGUAUAGAACAGCUAAAGAUAUGACUUAACAAUUACAUUACCAUCAGUCAGUGCCUUUAAUAGAUACUGGUGUCUGCUCUUUCAGUGAUCCUGCAUGAUAAUAACAAUGCCCUCUGCUGAAUCGAACCAGAAGAACUCAGCACUCCCACUCACAGCACUGACAGCGCCCAGUCAUUUGGUACAAAUAAUAUUUAAUGGAAAAUUUUACAGGAAUGAUUUGGAGAUGGCAAAGUCUGGAAAAAUUCCCAAAGCAAACACAGUAGAGGAAAAGUUAUAAAUGCCAUUAAACGUGGUUUAAGAGUCCUUACAGUUGGUUCCCAGUACGCCAGACUGUUCAGUGCACUAGGUAAACUUCCCUCUUUGAAUACGCUAUGCCCAGCAAUGCCAUUUCAGUUCAAAACACACUGACGAGGUGCCGUUCAUCAGCAGAGAGCCGAUUUUGAAGAGAGGAAUGUUUAUCCCAUGGGAAUCUGCUUCGUCAGAAAUGGCGCGAGGGUCGCUGGCACAGCAAACACCUGCCCUAUGGUGGGAGACAAGGUGAAUGGGUGCCCAGAAAAGCAAAGAAGAGCUGAAGAAGUGGGGAGGAGAGCCAAGGGAAUGCAAGACCCUGUUGAUAACCAAACUAGACUGAGUUGCAAAGACAGGGACGCUGUUCUGGAAAGCCCAUAAGCAAGUGCUGAAGAUCCCGUGAUUUCAGAGGGAUUUAAGUACCCCCUUAAAAUGCAGGAGCCCACCAGUCCACCAGCUGAAUGGCCAGGUGGUGCACCAGCCCACCAUGCUGAAUGGCAUGUUUCCAGGCUGCCUGUUCUAGCAGCACUCACUAUAUUAAGGACACAAUACACUUCACUUGUUUCGUGACUUUGUGGUGACUUUAAAUUUCAGCAACAACAGUAGGUCAAAGUUACAUACUGCUCUAAGUGGGUACAGCUUUAUAAGCUUCAGUAAAGUGGCCUGUCUUUCACUCAGGUAUAGGACACCUGAGAGAUUAAACACUGCUUUGUCUCUGCUCAAGCAUGCUUUGCAACAGGCCACACAACUCAAGCCAGAACAUCCUACUUCCUAACGCAUACAAAUGAAAGCUGGAAAGGAGAUGAAUGCAGCGGGUUCCUGAGUCCGAGUGUUGUUCUAGUCAGAGUGGAAAACAAAUCCAAACCAGCCAGUGCCUAAAUUUGGCCUAAUUUGUCAUUGCUGGGAGAGAAUAAUCAUUACACUUAAGUAAUCUGCCUUGUUUUCAACAGCUAUGGGGUUCUUCACUCACCAAGGUCCCCAAGGGCCGUGGAUCCCUGCCUAGGCAAAUGUGACUUUCAAAGCAAAGUUGCUAGAGAAAUCUGUGUACUCUGAUCUCUGCAGAAGAGAGAGGUGGAGAGAGCCACAGGUAGUGAGGGCAAAGGUUGUCCCAGGUUGUCCUGGGAGGAAAAGUGUCUGUGGUCUCCAGACUUCCACAGCUGUAAGGAGGGGGAGCUAUUUGAGAAGAUCAAGUCGGCCCAGAAAUGGAAAUGUUUCCGUGUCAUUGAGCAGCAUGUGCCUGGUUCAAAUGAAGCUUCUUGGGAGCCCAGAUUGGCCAGACCCCGUGCUACACCUUGUCAAAUGUUCAGCUCCUUUAUGCUGGCUCAGCAGCCCUUGAUAGCAGAGCAGGGACUAUGUGAAAGCAAAGGCCACCAGGACCACUAGUUGGAGCAUGCAGAGAAGGGUUGUCCACCCCCAAGCGCAGGUAUUACUGACUGCUGAAUGCAUGUCCAAGGUCCCCUGUGCCCAACCCACAGAGGACAUGAGCUCGCCAAUGGUCAUACACCAUAGGUGGAGUAAGAAAUGGUCCUUGUGCCUUCCCCCAGCCCCUUUUCACCGCCUACUCACAUUCUCACCUCCUCCUGCCCCGUGGCAUGUUCAGUUAAUAGAAAAUGCCAGUGAACGCCAAGGAAGCUUUCAGCCUCUUUGGCUUGUUACAUUCAAGUAAAAUCGUGUAAAUGCUGCUCCUGUAAAAUCCUGCUUGAUUGUAUCCUUGCUGAUUAACGACAACCACUGGUGGUGAAAAGCUGCAGGUUUUGUGGCACUGCCACAGCAAGAAGAACGGUGACAACCGCAUAUUUGCUGGAGCUCUAAGAGUUACUCGCUGCUUCUCCUGCAGCUCGGUAUAAUACAAAGGCAUAAAUUCUUCACCACAAGACCAUUUUCUUAAUAAAGUGCCUGUGCUGGGGUCCGGUAUUAUUGCUGGGUUGGAAACGCUGAAUGUCUCCAUGUGCAUUUCAUUAGCAUGCGCUUGCUCUGCUCCCACAGAUGCUUUACAGGAGAAUCUGUGCCAGCGCUGGAGCCCGAGUGUCCCCCAGUGAAACCCAAGAGCCACAUCCAUUUUUAGAGUGAGUUUGCCCAAAGAGAUGUUGCAUUAUCUGAGCACCACGUAAGGGAACAAAAUGAACUGAGGCUCCCCCGGCCACUUAUUUACCUUCUGUUUAAACAGUCUUUCAAGUUCUCUCCUGCACACCCUUCACUUGGCACCUCGCGUGGUGUUAGAGAGUCUAUUUUUAAAAGCAUGCUGCUGGCUUUUAUCUCAAGCUGCCUGAAUCUUUUUUUUCCCCCUCCCCAGCCCUUGUGCUCCUCAACUUAUUUGAAAGACGUUGGCAGAUAAAAGCGGAGAGGAGAGAUAGGGCGAAGGCAGCGAGCUUGGCCUGGCAAGCUGGGAAUUGGAGAGGGGUGGGAAACAAACACAUAAAAAAGUACCUAAAUACUUCCUGGAAUCACCGGUGAGUCAGUGUGGGUCCAGUCCCAACCGUCUGAUGGGAAAAAUGAAACCUGCCACUUUACACAAAAUAAAGGUUUACUUGAGCGAGGACUGCAGAAUUGGGCUAUCUAAAUUCCACAUUCUCUUUGUAUUGUUACCAUCACAACCCAGGGCAACAAACACACUCGGGAAUUAGUGCUUUGGCAGCAUCCAGGACCAAUAGCUCUGGAAGGCGAAGCUCUCCCUCCUAGCUUGCUCUAGGCAGCCUCUCUAAGUCUACCCCUGCACCCGUGGGCCCGAGUCCUCACCUUAAACACUCUUUGAAAGUCAUUUCCUUGUGGCAGGCUGUCAAAUGGCAGAUGCACCAAUUCUGAUCUGAUUCACACUGGUGUAAAUCGGGGCAGGGCCAAUGCAGUCAAUGGGGGCUUCCUAUGUAUAAAGUGAGGGUAAGGCUAGGAUCAGGGAUUCAUAUUGACUGCUCUCACCCAGGGAGCCCCGAGCCCCUGUCACUGUUAGGAGGGUAAAUGAGAGAGCCGGGGAAUGCUAUGCAGCUGUUUGAAAAGCCAGUUUCCAUGUGCAUGUUGCAGUCAAACACCAGACCAGGCUAAAAAUCAGCAUCUGUGCUCUGAGCCUGGGGUGGAUCAUUCAAACACCCAGCAGUGCCCAGGCAGCAAACAUAAAAGUGAGUCAAGAGGGAAGCAAGCCUGGUGCCAGGAACCUAAACAGCUGAUCCCAAACAGCACAGGAUGCACUACGGGCCCCUAAAUCUAGUGAGUGGAGGAUUAGGGGAUGUGAUCCAAUCUAAUGUACAAUAAACUCAGUUGUGAAGUA